AUGUUUCAGCCCAUCAUUUUACUCAUCCUCAUUCUAGUACUCUUCUCCUCACUCUCUUACGCCACCAUGUUUAAACUUGUUUUCCUUUUUACCCUUUUCUUUGUCCUGUAAUCUUCCACCAUUUUGUCGUUAGCAUAGCCCCCUGCCCCCUUUGAUUUCCGUUUGUUUGUUGAUGUUGUGUGUGCGUUGCCAUGAUCGCAGAAUUACAGGAGGCUCUCUCAAGCACAGGACUACACUACCCAGAAUACACUCUUAACUCAUAAGAACUACAUUUUCCAGAGGUCUUGCUUAUGGCUGCCACUGGAACUUGCAUUACCCAGACCUUGUGUGUUUUUUGCUGUUGAAGACUACAGCUACUCAGCAGGACUUCCAUGGUCUGUGCAUGUCUACUGCAUCAAAAGAGAAUUUCACUACAUGCACUGCGGUGCCACUGUGGACUACAUUACCCAGAGUGCAUGUCUGCCAUGGACUCUACCAGGCAUCUACUGGGCCUUUACUUUAAAUCUGCUAUAAGUACAUCUGUUGCUCAGCAUUAACUUCAACACAGACUGCUCUUCACAACACGGAAGGUUCAUCACUACAUUUCCCAGAAUUCCUCUCCUAACUACUAACUUCUGGCUGGGUCCUAGUUCUCCAAAGAACUUCACUGUCCCACCAUACCAUUUUUGAGAACCUGCUGGUUCUCUGAGUCACUUUGUGUGGAGGGCCAGUGGAACACACACACAGUGUGAUGGCAGCCCUCGAGCUUCAGUGUGGGCUGGAUCAUGGGGGAUGUGUGUGGGGGGGCGAGCGUGUGGACCUGCUAGACUCCUUCGACUCUGAGAUGCAGGAAUGGGAGGAGCAGCUGCAGGACAUGCAGAGGAAGAUUGAAGAGUUAUAUAAGGAGGUGGAAGCUCGCAGAGGAGCCACUGAGACCAGCCCUAACUCCAGCACAAACACCACAAACCUGGACAUCACCUUGCUUCCUGUCAACACUGCAAAUGACUAUCAUGUCAACAGCUAUAAUGGCCUGGCCAGGUCUCAUAACAGCGACAGGGAGCUUCGUCCAGUUGGUCCAUGCAGCGGAAUGAGUAAUGAUGUCCGGGUGGGGAAUGGCAAAGCCGUUAAUUACUCCAGUGAUUACACUGAUGGUUUGGUUAAUCUUCAUGGCUAUGGCUUCCGCUGCCCUAAAAGCUACCAGAGUAAUGGAGGUCAAGACGUCACCUUAGACAUUCUGAACGGAUACCUCAGCCAGGGAUCUAAUUUCACACCAAGCCCCAGCAAUCCUGGACCUCCAGAGACAAGCUCGAGAGGGAAUCAGAGUGUUUACUGUUAUCAGGACAGUAAUAAACAGUGGCCCCUGACUGGCAGUAUUGGCUGUGCGGCUGAGGUUGAAGAAGCGGAGAACAGAAAGAACAAAUGCUUGGGUACUGACGAAGCUCGAGUCCGACACGUCAGCUGGAAAGACCCCGUAUGCGCCAAAGAGCCGUCCCCAGAGAAAUCAGUCAGUAAGCCUCCUUUCAAACAGAGGGAUGGCCCUCCAACCCCUGUCCUCGCUCGUGCCACCCACUUCACAGAGCCACCACAACAACAGGACAGAAAGUGCCCUUUGGUGGACAGGAAGUGCAGUGGCAGCCCGUCAGUGUUGCGCAAGUUUGGCGCCAUGUUACAAGAGAACGAGGGGAAGACCCUGGUACAGGACGGCACAGUCACCACUGUAAUCCCAGUCGAGUCCCCAAAAGCCCAGAACACUCCAGUCUGCCAACGAAAGUUUUCUGUCAGCAGGGCGUCCACACAUGCAGAGUCCAGUCAGGAGCAUCUGAGGGCAUCUGCCGCUUCAAGCCCCCGACACAAUGUGGUCCAAAGUGGAGAACAUUGGGGGUCUAAUUACAGCACCAACCAUUCAUACUCUCACACAAAAGCACCACACCGGUUGGAGGCCGGGGGAAACAGGAAAAUGGGUUUUCAGGGAAACUCUGGGCAGUGGGGAUCCCAGGCAGUGGACAUGCAGGCUGACUACAGGAUGAUGGAAAGGAUCCUGGGUGGCUGUGCUGGUUCUCAGUACCAGGGAAAAGGAAAUGGUGCUGAUAUUAACCAGAGAAAGGACAACAGGGGUCCAUUUCUGGAUGCAAUGUCGGGGGAACAGCAGUAUACAAGCAGCCAGAGAAGCACACAGCAGGUCAAUCACCAACCAUCUUCCAUCCCUCCCAGAAGUUUUUCACGCCCUGCUCGGCCAGCAAACCAACGGCCUCCGUCCCGAUGGGCAAGCCACGCCCCCACGUCAAAAAUCACCACACCCUCUGGCCCCAUGCACCGCCCACCUAGCCCUGCCCGCAAAGCCAAGCAGCCCUUUAACAACUUCAGCAACUUCAACAACAGCGUCAAUCUAUACACAGAAACAGUCAUCAUGUGACCGUCAUGUGAGCUCCUUCCUGGAUGGACAGAAUGACUCAUUUCCACCCCUGACCUUUCUAUACGACUGAGCAUCAUCUUUUCCAGUCCCACCUCCCUCAAAUACACACACACAACCUUCACCCCCACCUUCAGUGUGUCUGUCUCUGUAAAUAUCCCUUGUUUUCUUUAAAAGCCCAGUCAAGAAGAAUGGUCAGCUAAAAGGAGGAACUGGAGACUUACCUACUGUGCUUUUCUUUAAAACCUUUAAAAUCCAUUACUGUAAAAACGACAAACAAUCGCCGGUGUACGUAAAGACCGCACUGGUGUAGAUUUGGAUGUGACACAUUUGUGGACUGUGAAACUGAUCUAAGGUGGCCUGAUACACUCCUGUGCCUAUACGCCCUUCCAUUAGCCUUUCCGGCCAUCACCAUUUCUUUUCUUUUCCUUUCUUCAUUUCUAUCAUUCUCAUUUUUGUAUUGUUUUCUCUCUCUCUCUUUUUCUUUUCACUAUUUAUUUCUCUUUUUUUUUUGAGUGCGUGGUUGCCGUGGUGCCAUUCCGUUGGCAUUUAUCUGCAGCUACAUGACGAAGCCUGUACAAAGCAUGCACAGUACACAGCUGCAGCACGUGGUAGUUUGUGACUCCGAUGCAGUUGUGGUGUGAUGAGCAAGUGCAAAAAAAUUAACAGUGUGCCAUUGUUUUUUUCAGUGUCCUUUUAAAACCAUUUAAAGCCAUACACUAGUGUUUCAGACUGAAGAUCAGCAGGAAAGGCCCAGUCAAGUGGAAUUGCAUUUUUGCAUUUUGAAGGAAUUUGAUGCAGACAAGUGAAGAGAGAAUAGACUUAGCGUCAUGUUCAGUUUUGGUGAACUUUGACACACUUACAUACGGUACGUCUGUAACCAGUUGCACUACUAAUUUUAUCCUUAUUUUAGCACCAACCAGAAUCAUUUUUUCUCCAGUGGCUAUUAAUAAAGAUGAUGGAUGAUACA
ensembl:lncRNA